rnacentral:rRNA from 1 species
UAGGGAAUCUUCGGCAAUGGGGGCAACCCUGACCGAGCAACGCCGCGUGAGUGAAGAAGGUUUUCGGAUCGUAAAGCUCUGUUGUAAGAGAAGAACGUGUGUGAGAGUGGAAAGUUCACACAGUGACGGUAACUUACCAGAAAGGGACGGCUAACUACGUGCCAGCAGCCGCGGUAAUACGUAGGUCCCGAGCGUUGUCCGGAUUUAUUGGGCGUAAAGCGAGCGCAGGCGGUUUAAUAAGUCUGAAGUUAAAGGCAGUGGCUUAACCAUUGUUCGCUUUGGAAACUGUUAAACUUGAGUGCAGAAGGGGAGAGUGGAAUUCCAUGUGUAGCGGUGAAAUGCGUAGAUAUAUGGAGGAACACCGGUGGCGAAAGCGGCUCUCUGGUCUGUAACUGACACUGAGGCUCGAAAGCGUGGGGAGCAAACAGG